GACGAACGCUGGCGGCGUGCUUAACACAUGCAAGUCGAACGGAAAGGCCCCCACCAUUUUUGGUGGGGGUGCUCGAGUGGCGAACGGGUGAGUAACACGUGGGUGAUCUGCCCUGUACUUCGGGAUAAGCUUGGGAAACUGGGUCUAAUACCGGAUAGGACCAUGGUUUAGUGUCUCAUGGUGGAAAAAUUAUUGUUUUGGUGCAGGAUGAGCUCGCGGCCUAUCAGCUUGUUGGUGGGGUAAUGGCCUACCAAGGCGUCGACGGGUAGCCGGCCUGAGAGGGUGGACGGCCACAUUGGGACUGAGAUACGGCCCAGACUCCUACGGGAGGCAGCAGUGGGGAAUAUUGCACAAUGGGCGCAAGCCUGAUGCAGCGACGCCGCGUGGGGGAUGACGGCCUUCGGGUUGUAAACUCCUUUCGUUAGGGACGAAGCCACACCUUUU
rnacentral:rRNA from 1 species